CCUACGGGGGGCAGCAGUGAGGAAUAUUGGUCAAUGGACGAGAGUCUGAACCAGCUAAGUAGCGUGAAGGAUGACUGCCCUAUGGGUUGUAAACUUCUUUUAUAUGGGAAUAAAAUGUUCCACGUGUGGGAUUUUGUAUGUACCAUAUGAAUAAGGAUCGGCUAACUCCGUGCCAGCAGCCGCGGUAAUACGGAGGAUCCGAGCGUUAUCCGGAUUUAUUGGGUUUAAAGGGAGCGUAGGUGGAUUGUUAAGUCAGUUGUGAAAGUUUGCGGCUCAACCGUAAAAUUGCAGUUGAAACUGGCAGUCUUGAGUACAGUAGAGGUGGGCGGAAUUCGUGGUGUAGCGGUGAAAUGCUUAGAUAUCACGAAGAACUCCGAUUGCGAAGGCAGUUCACUGGACUGCAACUGACACUGAGGCUCGAAAGUGUGGGUAUCAAACAGGAUUAGAUACCCGAGUAGUC
rnacentral:rRNA from 1 species